rnacentral:rRNA from 1 species
CCUACGGGUGGCAGCAGUGAGGAAUAUUGGUCAAUGGGCGUAAGCCUGAACCAGCCAAGUCGCGUGAGGGAUGAAGGUUCUAUGGAUCGUAAACCUCUUUUAUAAGGGAAUAAAGUGUGGGACGUGUCCUGUUUUGUAUGUACCUUAUGAAUAAGGAUCGGCUAACUCCGUGCCAGCAGCCGCGGUAAUACGGAGGAUCCGAGCGUUAGCCGGAUUUAUUGGGUUUAAAGGGUGCGUAGGCGGCCUUUUAAUUCAGCGGUGAAAGUCUGUGGCGCAACCAUAGAAUUGCCGUUGAAACUGGGAGGCUUGAGUAUGUUUGAGGCAGGCGGAAUGCGUGGUGUAGCGGUGAAAUGCUUAGAUAUCACGAAGAACCCCGAUUGCGAAGGCAGCCUGCCAAGCCAUGACUGACGCUGAUGCACGAAAGCGUGGGGAUCAAACAGGAUUAGAUACCCGAGUAGUC